rnacentral:rRNA from 1 species
UACGAAGGGGGCUAGCGUUGUUCGGAAUUACUGGGCGUAAAGCGCGUGCAGGCGGCCGACUAAGUCCGGUGUGAAAGCCCGGGGCUCACCCCCGGAAGUGCGCUGGAAACUGGUCGACUAGAGUACGGGAGAGGGAAGUGGAAUUCCACGUGUAGCAGUGAAAUGCGUAGAUAUGUGGAGGAACACCGAUGGCGAAGGCAGCCCCCUGGGUUGACACUGACGCUCAUGCACGAAAGCGUGGGGAGCAAACAGG